GGGUUGUGAGGUUAAGCGACUAAGCGUACACGGUGGAUGCCCUGGCAGUCAGAGGCGAUGAAGGACGUGCUAAUCUGCGAUAAGCGUCGGUAAGGUGAUAUGAACCGUUAUAACCGGCGAUUUCCGAAUGGGGAAACCCAGUGUGUUUCGACACACUAUCAUUAACUGAAUCCAUAGGUUAAUGAGGCGAACCGGGGGAACUGAAACAUCUAAGUACCCCGAGGAAAAGAAAUCAACCGAGAUUCCCCCAGUAGCGGCGAGCGAACGGGGAGCAGCCCAGAGCCUGAAUCAGUGUGUGUGUUAGUGGAAGCGUCUGGAAAGGCGCGCGAUACAGGGUGACAGCCCCGUACACAAAAAUGCACAUGCUGUGAGCUCGAUGAGUAGGGCGGGACACGUGGUAUCCUGUCUGAAUAUGGGGGGACCAUCCUCCAAGGCUAAAUACUCCUGACUGACCGAUAGUGAACCAGUACCGUGAGGGAAAGGCGAAAAGAACCCCGGCGAGGGGAGUGAAAAAGAACCUGAAACCGUGUACGUACAAGCAGUGGGAGCCUCUUUUAUGGGGUGACUGCGUACCUUUUGUAUAAUGGGUCAGCGACUUAUAUUCUGUAGCAAGGUUAACCGAAUAGGGGAGCCGAAGGGAAACCGAGUCUUAACUGGGCGUUAAGUUGCAGGGUAUAGACCCGAAACCCGGUGAUCUAGCCAUGGGCAGGUUGAAGGUUGGGUAACACUAACUGGAGGACCGAACCGACUAAUGUUGAAAAAUUAGCGGAUGACUUGUGGCUGGGGGUGAAAGGCCAAUCAAACCGGGAGAUAGCUGGUUCUCCCCGAAAGCUAUUUAGGUAGCGCCUCGUGAAUUCAUCUCCGGGGGUAGAGCACUGUUUCGGCAAGGGGGUCAUCCCGACUUACCAACCCGAUGCAAACUGCGAAUACCGGAGAAUGUUAUCACGGGAGACACACGGCGGGUGCUAACGUCCGUCGUGAAGAGGGAAACAACCCAGACCGCCAGCUAAGGUCCCAAAGUCAUGGUUAAGUGGGAAACGAUGUGGGAAGGCCCAGACAGCCAGGAUGUUGGCUUAGAAGCAGCCAUCAUUUAAAGAAAGCGUAAUAGCUCACUGGUCGAGUCGGCCUGCGCGGAAGAUGUAACGGGGCUAAACCAUGCACCGAAGCUGCGGCAGCGACGCUUAUGCGUUGUUGGGUAGGGGAGCGUUCUGUAAGCCUGUGAAGGUGUGCUGUGAGGCAUGCUGGAGGUAUCAGAAGUGCGAAUGCUGACAUAAGUAACGAUAAAGCGGGUGAAAAGCCCGCUCGCCGGAAGACCAAGGGUUCCUGUCCAACGUUAAUCGGGGCAGGGUGAGUCGACCCCUAAGGCGAGGCCGAAAGGCGUAGUCGAUGGGAAACAGGUUAAUAUUCCUGUACUUGGUGUUACUGCGAAGGGGGACGGAGAAGGCUAUGUUGGCCGGGCGACGGUUGUCCCGGUUUAAGCGUGUAGGCUGGUUUUCCAGGCAAAUCCGGAAAAUCAAGGCUGAGGCGUGAUGACGAGGCACUACGGUGCUGAAGCAACAAAUGCCCUGCUUCCAGGAAAAGCCUCUAAGCAUCAGGUAACAUCAAAUCGUACCCCAAACCGACACAGGUGGUCAGGUAGAGAAUACCAAGGCGCUUGAGAGAACUCGGGUGAAGGAACUAGGCAAAAUGGUGCCGUAACUUCGGGAGAAGGCACGCUGAUAUGUAGGUGAAGCGACUUGCUCGUGGAGCUGAAAUCAGUCGAAGAUACCAGCUGGCUGCAACUGUUUAUUAAAAACACAGCACUGUGCAAACACGAAAGUGGACGUAUACGGUGUGACGCCUGCCCGGUGCCGGAAGGUUAAUUGAUGGGGUUAGCGCAAGCGAAGCUCUUGAUCGAAGCCCCGGUAAACGGCGGCCGUAACUAUAACGGUCCUAAGGUAGCGAAAUUCCUUGUCGGGUAAGUUCCGACCUGCACGAAUGGCGUAAUGAUGGCCAGGCUGUCUCCACCCGAGACUCAGUGAAAUUGAACUCGCUGUGAAGAUGCAGUGUACCCGCGGCAAGACGGAAAGACCCCGUGAACCUUUACUAUAGCUUGACACUGAACAUUGAGCCUUGAUGUGUAGGAUAGGUGGGAGGCUUUGAAGUGUGGACGCCAGUCUGCAUGGAGCCGACCUUGAAAUACCACCCUUUAAUGUUUGAUGUUCUAACGUUGACCCGUAAUCCGGGUUGCGGACAGUGUCUGGUGGGUAGUUUGACUGGGGCGGUCUCCUCCUAAAGAGUAACGGAGGAGCACGAAGGUUGGCUAAUCCUGGUCGGACAUCAGGAGGUUAGUGCAAUGGCAUAAGCCAGCUUGACUGCGAGCGUGACGGCGCGAGCAGGUGCGAAAGCAGGUCAUAGUGAUCCGGUGGUUCUGAAUGGAAGGGCCAUCGCUCAACGGAUAAAAGGUACUCCGGGGAUAACAGGCUGAUACCGCCCAAGAGUUCAUAUCGACGGCGGUGUUUGGCACCUCGAUGUCGGCUCAUCACAUCCUGGGGCUGAAGUAGGUCCCAAGGGUAUGGCUGUUCGCCAUUUAAAGUGGUACGCGAGCUGGGUUUAGAACGUCGUGAGACAGUUCGGUCCCUAUCUGCCGUGGGCGCUGGAGAACUGAGGGGGGCUGCUCCUAGUACGAGAGGACCGGAGUGGACGCAUCACUGGUGUUCGGGUUGUCAUGCCAAUGGCACUGCCCGGUAGCUAAAUGCGGAAGAGAUAAGUGCUGAAAGCAUCUAAGCACGAAACUUGCCCCGAGAUGAGUUCUCCCUGACUCCUUGAGAGUCCUGAAGGAACGUUGAAGACGACGACGUUGAUAGGCCGGGUGUGUAAGCGCAGCGAUGCGUUGAGCUAACCGGUACUAAUGAACCGUGAGGCUUAACCUUACAACGCCGAAGGUGUUU
rnacentral:rRNA from 1 species